rnacentral:rRNA from 1 species
AAGAUUAAGCCAUGCAUGUCUAAGUAUAAGCAAUUUAUACAGUGAAACUGCGAAUGGCUCAUUAAAUCAGUUAUCGUUUAUUUGAUAGUUCCUUUACUACAUGGUAUAACUGUGGUAAUUCUAGAGCUAAUACAUGCUUAAAAUCUCGACCCUCUGGAAGAGAUGUAUUUAUUAGAUAAAAAAUCAAUGUCUUCGGACUCUUUGAUGAUUCAUAAUAACUUUUCGAAUCGCAU